rnacentral:misc_RNA from 1 species
GUGAAUCAUCAAAUUUUUGAACGCAAAUUGCACUCUCUUCGGAGAGUAUGCCUGUUUGAGGGUCAGUAUUAAUAAAAAUCGGUGUGUUGCUUCUUUGUGACGCUCCGGAGUUUGGGUCAUCUUAAUAUCCUUUAGGUUUUAAGAGGCUUAAAAUUGACUUUUUUUGCGCAUUUUAGAUGUACAUAAAUUCUUUUUUUAUUCCUCUGGCUUAAUUGCCCAAGUCCUUAUAGAUUCGGACA